rnacentral:rRNA from 1 species
UACGGGGGGGGCAAGCGUUGUUCGGAAUUACUGGGCGUAAAGGGCUCGUAGGUGGCCAACUAAGUCAGACGUGAAAUCCCUCGGCUUAACCGGGGAACUGCGUCUGAUACUGGAUGGCUUGAGUUUGGGAGAGGGAUGCGGAAUUCCAGGUGUAGCGGUGAAAUGCGUAGAUAUCUGGAGGAACACCGGUGGCGAAGGCGGCGACCUGGUCCUUGACUGACGCUGAGGCGCGAAAGCGUGGGGAGCAAACAGG